AUAUGCUGUCAGAAAAACACUUAAAACAUAUUGGGAUUGGCCUGUCCCAUUAGAAGAUUUUGAUUCGUUUGGACUAGUACAACAAUAAGAUCCGUUUUAUCCAUAUUUUAAUACAUCAUCCAAAGGGUCCAAACUAAUUCCAUAACCCUGAGACCUACAAACGGAAUUUCAAUCUUCAAACGAACAUAACCCAUUUGUAGAAAUUAUUAUCUUGAGCAAGAAGCUAAUGUUCAUUAAGUUAUAAUUGCACAACAAGAUGGCUUUAACAGAUAACUGUUGCAAGCGACAAACUUCCAAAGGAGCAUAUAUUUUGGCCAAACCUCAACCAGGAAC
rnacentral:lncRNA from 1 species